CUUAAAACUUACUGUUUAUUGUUUUAAAACAUAAACCAAGAAUUUUUAAUUGUAUAUUUUCCUCUUUAAGAAGUGUAUUGACAUCCAGUCUUAAGUGGGAAGUUCUCAGAUAUCUUCCACUAGUUGCAAUCCUCUGGCAUAUCCUGACAUGCAUUGAGUACCGGAUCCAGGAACUGUGACAUUUGAUUCGGAGAGAUAUAGCAUUCAGUUGAUUUUUGGACUUUCUCUCUUAAACAUGUCUUCUGUGAGGUUACAACCGAUAGACAGAUAUUUGUCAACGCAAUGUCCCUAUAGGAACAACCCUAGAAAUUGAAUAGGAUGCAAUUAUGUGCACAUUCGUAUACAUUGUACUUCGAGAGAGAAAAAAAGGGAGAUGAGCAUUCUACAUUGAUCCAGUGCCUUUUUAUGGGAUUCGAAACUGUGACUGUGAGAUGUACGAGAGUUUGACUUCUAGGCGGGCAAAUCUACUUUCACUUUAAACGGAUGGCAGGUGCCUGAGUGUAUCUUGACCCAUUUCCAGGCUAGCAGCAGAUGUCAUGAUGGACCUUUAAAACUUUCACAUCUGUACUUUCAAGAACCAUAUACAUUAUUUUUGAAAAUUGGUUGUCAUGGUAAUAAAAUCUGA